rnacentral:tRNA from 1 species
GCUCCCGUGGUGUAGUCCGGCCAAUCAUUCGGCCUUUUCGAGGCCGAGACCUGGGUUCGAACGCCGUUAAAUUUGCGUUAGCAAAUUUUUGGUUUGAAAGUCCCGGCGGGAGCA